AACACCGAUGGGCGAAGGCAAUCCCCUGGACCUGUAUGACGCUCAUGCACGAAAGCGUGGGGAGCAAACAGGAUCAGAUACCCUGGUAGUCCACGCCCUAAACGAUGUCAACUGGUUGUUGGGUCUUAACUGACUCAGUAACGAAGCUAACGCGUGAAGUUGACCGCCUGGGGAGUACGGCCGCAAGGUUGAAACUCAAAAGAAUUGACGGGGACCCGCACAAGCGGUGGAUGAUGUGGUUUAAUUCGAUGCAACGCGAAAAACCUUACCCACCUUUGACAUGUACGGAAGGAUCCAGAGAUGGAUUUGUGCUCGAAAGAGAACCGUAACACAGGUGCUGCAUGGCUGUCGUCAGCUCGUGUCGUGAGAUGUUGGGUUAAGUCCCGCAACGAGCGCAACCCUUGUCAUUAGUUGCUACAUUUAGUUGGGCACUCUAAUGAGACUGCCGGUGACAAACCGGAGGAAGGUGGGGAUGACGUCAAGUCCUCAUGGCCCUUAUAGGUGGGGCUACACACGUCAUACAAUGGCUGGUACAAAGGGUUGCCAACCCGCGAGGGGGAGCUAAUCCCAUAAAACCAGUCGUAGUCCGGAUCGCAGUCUGCAACUCGACUGCGUGAAGUCGGAAUCGCUAGUAAUCGUGGAUCAGAAUGUCACGGUGAAUACGUUCCCGGGUCUUGUACACACCGCCCGUCACACCAUAGGAGCGGGUUCUUCCAGAAGUAGUUA
rnacentral:rRNA from 1 species